GGGCCCGUAGCCCAGUCUGGAUUAAGGCGCCGGCCUUCGGAGCCGGAGACCAGGGGUUCAAAUCCCCCCGGGCCCG
rnacentral:tRNA from 1 species